rnacentral:lncRNA from 9 species
GAACAGGUGUAUUUGACCACACACUGGGGGAAGUGGGGGAAGUAAAGACCUGAGCUUUGAGGAAGUCAAGCUGGAGGCCCUCAGAGGUGGUUAUUUAUAUCAGAGUGAUGUGUAUUGAAAGCCAAAGACUUUCAUUCCCCCACCAUCACGGAGCUGAUUUAGAGAAGAGGAAGGGCGUGUAUUUCGCCUUCUUAAAUAUCUGCUGCAAGAACUUCUGGUGUGGGUCAGACUGCUCAUGAUCCAUGCACAGGCUUUAUGGUAGAUGAAAGGGUGUGUCAUCAAUCUUGUUUCAACUACUUUGUACAUAAAAUGGCUAACUUCUCAUUGGUUGACAGACUGUGUGACUUCAUUCUUAUUUCCUUUCGCAAGAUGCUCCCUAUAUACCCCCCAUGUGAACAGCCUGUUGUGCAUGUUUGGGGUGGGGGAGGAAGGACCUUACAUUGUCUAAGCUCAAAAUAAGAAAAUCAGACUCUAACAACAACCCAAAACAAUGCAUUAGAAACUCUUGUGGUGCCACUAACAUAAAUGAAGUCUCACAUAAUUAGCUUUCAUUUUAUAUCUCUUGCAUUGUAAAAUCCCUCCCUGCCCACACCCCACCCCCAUUCAGGCUCUUUUGGUUAUGAGAAAUGAGUGUGUUUUAGGACCAACAUGUCAGAAUUAUGAGGAAGAAACUUGGCAGUGGAACAAACUAUGUGAUACGCUUGACAAGAACUGAGAAACGACCCAUUUCAGGUUUUCUGAGGCAGCCUUUCAUUUUUGGUUCAGCAAUAUAGCCCAGAAGCCACAGAAUGGGAAGCACCGUUGCCAGCACCAUGAGGGUCAUAAAGAGGCCCAGUCACAUUGGGAUGGAAGUCCUCAUCCUCAGGCUCAGAGUGGUGAAUGGGAGGCGUGCCUUGCUCAGCCCCAGAGUGGAGACAAAUGGGUGUGGAAUUCACCAUAAUCUAUGGCAAGAAAUGGCCCUUACCCAUGGGAUUGAGAAUAUUAAUGCCAGGAAGAGGUCAGACAUUGAUAUUGAAGAGCAGACCUGUGUUGGAAUGAAUGCAGUUCUAGGGCGAGACUGGUGAAUGAAGAAGGGUAAGUAUGAAUGAGGGCUGACUAGAGCAUGACAGAGAAGAAGGUCAAAAGUACCACAUGUUAAGCUGAAGCCAAGGUUUUUGGGUUUUUUUUUCUCUUUUUUUGGCCAUCCCCAUGGCAUAUGGAGUUCCUGGGCCAGGGACCAGAUCUCAGCCAGAGCUGCUGGACCCUUAACCCACUUAACUCAUUGUGCCAGGCCAGGGAUUGAACCUGAGUGCUAGGGCUCCAGAGACACUUCUGAUCCUGCUGCACCAUAGCAGGAACUCCUGAAGCCAAGAGUCUAAUGAAAGAUUAAGGUGUUCUAAUAAAAGACAGCAAGUGCUCAGCAAAUGCUUCUCAACUGGAUAAAUCAGAAGAUGCUGGUCAGGGGAUCCUUGGCGGGUGAAGGUGCAGAGGCAACCAGCUUGGGAUGUUAAGGGUCUGCAGAGAGUGUAAUUGCGGCUUGAACUGGGGGCAUCCUUGGAAGAGUAGGUACCAAGCAACAGGAACAGAACACCGAAGCUGGGCUUGGUUAAGUGGGAUGGGGCAGAAACUGCUAAUGGCUUACCAGUAUCUACUCUCCCCAUUGUAACACAACCCAGAUUUUAAACUAGAUGACAAGGUGCCCAGUUGAAAGACAACAUUAGUCAGUCAUAUUUGCAGCUGGGAUGGCCACUAAGGUAUAAACAGAAGUUGGAACUAUAUUCAAUAUCCUGUGAUAAACCAUAAUGGAGAAGAAUAUGAAAAAGAAUAUAUAUGGUAUACAUAUGCAUAACUGAAUCACUUUACUGUAGAGCAGAAAUUAACAUAGCAUUGUAAAUCAACUACAUCUCAAUAAAUUUUUUUUAAAAAAGAGUUAUAAGUGGAGGUUGUUGCACGGGGGGUGGGGGGCGCUCUUCUGUGAAGAGGUGAUAGAAUACUAACAUACUUGUAUUUUUCCCUUUUCCCUUCUUCCUGUGCCUUCCUAGAAACGAAAGAUCAAUGUGAUGGUUAGAUCUUCAGCUAUUGAGUCAUGUAGUGAAUUUGAAAAUGGAAGCCAUAUCCUAAGGACAGCAGAACAAAAAGAUAGAGGAAACCUGGAACAUUGAUGACUCUGUAGCUCCCAUACCACUCAGAAUUCAGCCUUCCUUUGUAUGAGAAAUAAGAUAUUAUCUUAUUGAAGCUACUAUUAUUUCCUCCUUCACCUGGGACAUCACAAGCCUAGGGAUCUUUGGAAGGUUUCAAACAAAGAGUGAAGAAUUAGGGAUUUUAUUUGUUUAGUUUUUGGUUGUUUAUUUUUUAAGUUAAAUAGGCUGUAAAAUAAAAGUGUUUUAAUUUGAAAAAAUAGUCUCUGAGCUCUAUCAUAAAAGGAAUCAAGGGGUUAUAUAUUAUUGUAUUAUGUAUUUAUUUGGCUUAAACAAAAAGAGGGUUUUAUUUGCUUAUGUAAUUGAGAAAUCCAGAAGUUGGGUGGGCUUAGGUAAGGCCAUCUCUAGUAGCUGGAUAAGCCAACCAAGAUUCAGUGUCUUUCCAUUUCUUCUGAGUCUCCC